rnacentral:rRNA from 1 species
UCGAGAAUCUUUCACAAUGGGGGCAACCCUGAUGGAGCGACGCCGCGUGGAGGAUAAGGUCUUCGGAUUGUAAACUCCUGUCAUGCGCGAACAAGGCUGGUUGGAUAAUACCUGAUCAGAUUGAUGGUAGCGCAAGAGGAAGAGACGGCUAACUCUGUGCCAGCAGCCGCGGUAAUACAGAGGUCUCAAGCGUUGUUCGGAAUCACUGGGCGUAAAGGGUGCGUAGGUGGCGAGGUAAGUCAGAUGUGAAAGCCCAGGGCUCAACCUUGGAAUUGCAUCCGAUACUGCUUUGCUAGAGUACUGGAGGGGUGACUAGAAUUCUCGGUGUAGCAGUGAAAUGCGUAGAUAUCGAGAGGAAUACCAAAGGCGUAGGCAGGUCACUGGACAGUUACUGACACUGAGGCACGAAGGCCAGGGUAGCGAACG